UAUUACUUUUUUGUAAUAUUGACAGAAUAUAUUCCCACACAAGUCAUGCUAGUCAUGCCUAGCGACACUUUAAAUACAUUUCUUUAACCUUCAGCGAACACCGAUCCGAGCACGAGAGGAUGGCACAAGUAAGAUAUCCAAAUGAAAAUCAAUGUUGGCAACUUGGACAUCAAAAUCGAUACCUACACGUUCAAUGUCAGCAGCUACAGCCGCAGGUGAAACCCCAUAAGCCAUUGGGGUCCACUAAACGAAGUGGUCUACGGGACAUUAUUGUUGGUGGCAAGUAUCGUCUGUUGAGUCCAAUAGGCAGUGGAUCCUUUGGGGAGCUAUACCGUGCCUCUGGUCUUCAGUGCGGAGAGGAGGUGGCUGUAAAACUAGAAAGCAGUUCCGUCAAGUACCCACAGCUGCCGCGCGAAGCAAAAAUAUACAAUAUACUUCGAGGUGGCGUUGGCUUUCCGCAUAUUCGUUAUUUCGGCACCGAGGGCAUAUAUAAUGUGCUGGUUCUAGAUUUAUUAGGUCCUACCUUAGAGGAUCUGCUAAACUUUUGUGCGCGAAACUUUAGCUUAAAGACGACACUGAUGCUGGCGGAUCAAAUACUGGCUCGUGUGGAGUACCUGCAUAUGAACUGUCUGUUGCAUCGAGAUAUCAAGCCAGAAAACUUUCUAAUGGGUUUAGGCAGUCAGCGAACUCGUGUUUUCAUGAUUGACUUUGGUUUGGCCAAAAAAUACUAUCGUCCCAGCACCCGUACACAUAUCAACUACUAUGAGCGUCAUGAGCUCAUAGGUACAGCUCGAUACGCCUCGGUACAUGCCCAUUAUGCAGAGCAGGGACGUCGUGAUGACUUGGAGUCCGUGGGCUAUCUGCUGCUCUACUUUUUGCGUGGUCGCCUUCCUUGGCAGGGCAUCAAUGCCGCGACACGAAUACAAAAGUACGAGAGAAUUGCCGAGAGCAAGUCAACGCUGCCAUUAAAUAUAUUAUGUUCGGGAGUACCCACCGAAUUCUACUUGUAUAUGAAGUACUGUCGCAGCCUACACUUUACCGAGCAGCCGGACUACGUUUAUUUGCGACAGUUAUUUAAGGUGUUGUUCCGAAAUCAUUUUCUGCUCUAUGACUAUCUCUACGAUUGGGUGGACAUUAAUUUGGAGAUGGCGCAUAAUAAACGCAUAAUGCCACAGCAGCGUGGUAAAGAUCGAAAUCAAGAGGAGGAUGUGGAAGAGGUGCAGAAAUCGGAUUCGCGUCGUCUUGUCAAAAAAAAACGCCACCACGAGCAAAAGCGACAGAAACAGUAAUCGGAGCACCUGGUAGAACGAUGCGUUAUCCGUUAAUUGACUGCACCAUAACUAUAUUUGGCAUGCAUUUAUCAUUUUUAUGUGUUUGUAAGAAUGUUUAUAGAGGUGUAAGUGUGGGAGUGUAUAUCCUUUGUUCUUCAAAUCAAUUCCCUAUGGCAUAAUUGUUCCAACCACACUAAACCGUGAACCUUUUAGCUUAUUAACGAGAGAGGGGCUAAGCCUUAUCAAACAAAAAAUCAAUAGCUUUUGUAUUCAAAACUAAUUUAAACUGGUUCACUUUGAUAAGGAAUGGGCUAUCUCUGGAUUACAACUUGGUUUAAUAUAAGGCCAAUUUCAUUCGAUUGAAACGAAUGAACAAUCAGAAAA